rnacentral:lncRNA from 1 species
GUGAUUGCCAUCUUGUUGGAGGAGAGCUUGUUUGUUCUCAGCUGAAGGAGCUGUGAAAAUGUCAUUGCUCUUGGAUCCCCAGUGUAAUCUGGUCACUGCUCUGGAUUGUGGUUAAUACCAGCAUUACGUGCAUCCAGCCAAGACAAACUCUAAAUGGGAAGAGGUUCCUUUGCUGGCAGCCCUGGUGCCAAGGCAAUCAUGAUUCUGGGUUUUUGCUCAGGUGCAUUCCUGCAGUGCCAUCUGGUGUCAAUUAAAGAAAGUUAACCUGGUUUUCUACAUAGUGCAACUGAAAAUGAAACCCUCAAGAAGGAAAAAAUGAAACUGAUGCUCAGUAUAAGAGCAAUGUAAACUUCAUCUCUCAUCUGCCUUUUAAAAAAGGAAGAUUCACAUUUUUAAAUAAAAUCAAGGUAAUUUAUAUCUUCUCA